rnacentral:rRNA from 1 species
AGUCGAGCGGACAGAUGGGAGCUUGCUCCCUGAUGUUAGCGGCGGACGGGUGAGUAACACGUGGGUAACCUGCCUGUAAGACUGGGAUAACUCCGGGAAACCGGGGCUAAUACCGGAUGGUUGUUUGAACCGCAUGGUUCAGACAUAAAAGGUGGCUUCGGCUACCACUUACAGAUGGACCCGCGGCGCAUUAGCUAGUUGGUGAGGUAACGGCUCACCAAGGCAACGAUGCGUAGCCGACCUGAGAGGGUGAUCGGCCACACUGGGACUGAGACACGGCCCAGACUCCUACGGGAGGCAGCAGUAGGGAAUCUUCCGCAAUGGACGAAAGUCUGACGGAGCAACGCCGCGUGAGUGAUGAAGGUUUUCGGAUCGUAAAGCUCUGUUGUUAGGGAAGAACAAGUGCCGUUCAAAUAGGGCGGCACCUUGACGGUACCUAACCAGAAAGCCACGGCUAACUACGUGCCAGCAGCCGCGGUAAUACGUAGGUGGCAAGCGUUGUCCGGAAUUAUUGGGCGUAAAGGGCUCGCAGGCGGUUUCUUAAGUCUGAUGUGAAAGCCCCCGGCUCAACCGGGGAGGGUCAUUGGAAACUGGGGAACUUGAGUGCAGAAGAGGAGAGUGGAAUUCCACGUGUAGCGGUGAAAUGCGUAGAGAUGUGGAGGAACACCAGUGGCGAAGGCGACUCUCUGGUCUGUAACUGACGCUGAGGAGCGAAAGCGUGGGGAGCGAACAGGAUUAGAUACCCUGGUAGUCCACGCCG